rnacentral:SRP_RNA from 1 species
CGGGUCUUGCGCAACAGAGCGCCGCGAAUCGUGUCAGGCCAGGAAUGGAGCAGCACUAAACGGAUGUCUUUGUGUGCCGCGAGGGCGC